rnacentral:rRNA from 1 species
UACGGAGGGUGCAAGCGUUAUCCGGAUUCACUGGGUUUUAAAGGGUGCGUAGGUGGGCUUGUAAGUCAGUGGUGAAAUCUCCGAGCUUAACUUUGGAAACUGCCAUUGAUACUAUAAGUCUUGAAUAUUGUGGAGGUCAGCGGAAUAUGUCAUGUAGCGGUGAAAUGCUUUAGAUAUGACAUAGAACACCAAUUGCGAAGGCAGCUUGCUACACUAUCAUUUGACACUGAGGCACGAAAGCGUGGGGAUCAAACAGG